rnacentral:lncRNA from 1 species
GGCUUUCAAAAACAGGUCAGCCCUUCAUAAACCCAGAUGGGAGUCCAGUUGUGUAUAAUCCUCCUAUGACUCAACAACCAGUUAGAUCCCAAGUGCCUGGACCUCCACAGCCACCUCUGCCAGCCCCACCUCAACAACCAGCAGCUAAUCACAUUUUCUCACAGGAUAACCUAGGGUCUCAGUUUAGCCACAUGAGUCUUGCUCGCCAGCCAUCUGCUGAUGGUUCUGACCCUCAUGCCGCCAUGUUCCAGUCCACUGUGGUUCUUCAGUCUCCACAGCAGUCUGGUUAUAUCAUGACAGCAGCCCCUCCACCACAUCCUCCUCCACCGCCACCACCACCACCUCCUCCUCCUCCCCUACCACCUGGGCAGCCAGUCCCUACUGCUGGAUAUCCUGCCUCUGGUCAUCCUGUCAGCCAGCCUGUGCUCCAGCAGCAGGGAUAUAUUCAGCAGCCAUCACCACAGAUGCCAGCCUGUUAUUGCGCUCCAGGCCACUAUCACUCCAGCCAACCUCAGUAUCGCCCAGUCCCUUCUGUUCAUUACAAUUCACAUCUAAACCAACCACUGCCACAACCUGCGCAGCAGACAGGUUAUCAAGUUAUACCCAACCAGCAGCAAAACUACCAAGGAAUAGUUGGAGUUCAGCAACCCCAGAGUCAGAGCCUAGUCAGUGGCCAACCCAACAGCAUUGGAAAUCAGAUUCAAGGAGUGGUCAUCCCCUAUACUUCAGUGCCAACAUAUCAGGUUUCACUGCCUCAAGGUUCUCAAGGAAUUCCCCAUCAGACUUAUCAACAGCCUGUUAUGUUCCCUAAUCAGUCUAAUCAAGGAUCUAUGCCCACAACAGGAAUGCCUGUUUACUAUAGUGUCAUUCCACCUGGUCAACAAAACAAUU